rnacentral:rRNA from 1 species
UACAUGUGGGGCAAGCGUUGUUCGGAAUCACUGGGCGUAAAGCGCGUGUAGGCGGUAUGGCAAGUCUGCUGUGAAAGCUCUCGGCUUAACCGGGAGAGGUCGGUGGAAACUGCCACACUGGAGGACGGUAGAGGGGGGUGGAAUUCCCGGUGUAGUGGUGAAAUGCGUAGAGAUCGGGAGGAACACCUGUGGCGAAGGCGGCCCCCUGGGCCGGCCCUGACGCUGAGACGCGAAAGCGCGGGGAGCGAACGGG